AGCGGAAUACAAUCAGUUUCGUUUAAAAGAGUUGGCAAUAUUUAUGUCCAGAGUUGCGAAUAUUACGUCAUGUAUGUUCGGUCCUGUUAAGUCAUAAGUAAUACCGAGUUUUUUUAGCACUAUAACGUAUGGCGAUUAACGCCUGCGUAUAAAUUAACUUAACCUACAGGAUAAACAGACAUGUCUGACGUAGUAACUGGUACAGUAAAAUUUUUCAACGAAACUAAAGGUUUCGGUUUCAUCACUCAAGAUUCAGGUCCUGACGUUUUCGUUCAUUUCUCUGCAAUCAACACUUCUGGUUUCAAAACUUUGGCUGAAGGCCAAAAAGUUGAAUUCCAAGUAGCUCAAGGCAAAAAAGGCCCUGAAGCUCAAAACGUUACACCUUUAUAAGGUAACGUUGCUGAGAGUCUUCUCAGCAGUGCGAAUACUAAAAAGCGACUUUUGAGUCGCUUUUUUUGU
rnacentral:sRNA from 1 species